rnacentral:rRNA from 1 species
UACGGAGGGUGCGAGCGUUGUCCGGAAUCACUGGGCGUAAAGGGCGCGUAGGCGGCUGGGGAAGUCGGCGGUGAAAGCCCGGAGCUCAACUCCGGGUCGGCCGUCGAGACUCCUCGGCUCGAGCUCACUAGAGGCAGAUGGAAUUCCGGGUGUAGCGGUGGAAUGCGUAGAGAUCCGGAAGAACACCGGUGGCGAAGGCGGCGACCUGGGCCAAUAUUGACGCUGAGGUGCGAAAGCGUGGGGAGCAAACAGG